GACGAACGCUGGAGGCGUGCCUAAUACAUGCAAGUCGAACGCAGUGGGGACGGGUGAGUAACACGUGGGUAACCUCCCAUCAGAGGGGAUAACACUUGGAAACAGGUGCUAAACCGAUACUGAUGGAUGGACCCGCGGUGCAUUAGCUAGUUGGGGAGGUAACGGCUCACCAAGGCCACGAUGCAUAGCCGACCUGAGAGGGGAAUCGGCAACACUGGGAUGGAGACACGGCCCGGCUCCCUACGGGAGGCAGCAGUAGGGAACUUUCGGCAAUGGACGAAAGUCUGACCGAGCAAGGCCGCGUGAGUGAAGAAGGUUUUCGGAUCGUAAAACUCUGUUGUCAGAGAAGCGGUAUCUAACCAGAAAGCCACGGCUAACUACGUGCCAGCAGCCGCGGUAAUAC
rnacentral:rRNA from 1 species